rnacentral:rRNA from 1 species
CGCGUGGGUAACCUGCCUUAUAGCGGGGGAUAACUAUUGGAAACGAUAGCUAAUACCGCAUAACAAUAGAGAUUGCAUAAUCUUUAUUUGAAAGUACCAACUGGUACACUAUGAGAUGGACCCGCGUUGUAUUAGCUAGUUGGUAGUGUAAUGGACUACCAAGGCGAUGAUACAUAGCCGACCUGAGAGGGUGAUCGGCCACAUUGGGACUGAGACACGGCCCAAACUCCUACGGGAGGCAGCAGUAGGGAAUCUUCGGCAAUGGACAAAAGUCUGACCGAGCAACGCCGCGUGAGUGAAGAAGGUUUUCGGAUCGUAAAACUCUGUUGUUAGAGAAGAAUGUUGAUUAGAGUGGAAAAUUAAUCAAGUGACGGUAUCUAACCAGAAAGGGACGGCUAACUACGUG